UGAAGCUGUUGGUUGGCUGCAGAGGAUUUGACUUAAGAACUAGGGGGUGCUGUUCAGGAGGUUGUAAAGUCCUAUGGUCAUGGAACCCAGCAAGGGAAAUUGAAUCAUUAGAGGCAACAGGACAUGACAAAGCCAUGUAAGAAACUGCUUCAAAUUCAUCUUCCCAAGUCUCCAAGAUGGUUUCCCAGUCCUCUGAUUGUCUGAGUCAUAGCACAACCUAUGGAACAAAUUUUGCUGCUUCUCGGGAAAAUGGUCAUGGCAGUGAGAAAACAAACACAUUCCUUGGAGAUGGAAGUGUGAAGAAGCAAGAAUUCCAAUAACAGAUGUACAAGUGGGUAUUCACCAAGGACAUUGGAGUACACUCAAGCCUGUGUGGAUGACAGGUGGGAAGUUGCAUUUUUGGGGAUGUGGACUCAGCUAUGCCAGUCAUAGAGCAAUUAUCCUAUGAAAAUGCUAACAGAUUUUGUCACGAGGUUUUAUGCCCCCAUAGAAAUGGAAAUUUAGAUGAGUUUAUCCAGUAUCCGGCUAUGCAGGGACAUUGAUGGCAUUCAUGUGAUGGGUCAGAUAAUUGUUUCUGCCCUUAGGGAGGGUCAAGGUGGAGCUAGAUCAAGGAAUUGUUUUCAUUGUGGAAGGUCAGGACACAUCAAAGGAACUGCCCUGUGGGAAAAGGGGCAGUUAAUCAGCCCAGGGGAAAGACAGGUGUAACAGCCUGUGCCUUCAAUCCCAGCUAUUCAAGGCCAGUGUGGUCCUACAGAGUGAGUUCCUGGAACAGCUAGAGGCAGGAUGCAUAGUGGCAUCCACUUCUCCCUGGAACACUCCUAUCUUUGUUAUUAAGAAAAAGUCUGGUAAAUGGAGGUUGUUAUAAGAUCUUAGAGCAAUAAAUGGUUAUAUGGACAUUCUGCAGGGGAAUCCAGAUCCAACUUCCUUUUGUGAGUUGAUAAUUUUUCCCUCUCAGCAUAGUCCUCCUGGAGUUUUUUUGGCAGAAGAGACCCAUCCUAUGGGUACAUGAACAUGUGUUACCUGUAAAAAUUGUUAUUUCAUACCCAUCAGCUGUGCUACGUGCUAAUCAGAAAGGGUAUAAACUUGGUUUACAAACCUUUGGAAUGUUACCUGAUAAGGUCAUUACACCAUAUACCCAAGCAAAAAUAACUUGGCUACAGAAUUUUGCUGAGGAUUGGACCUUGUUUUUAUACACUAAUCCCUCCAAGUUUGAUAAUCAUUAUCCUUCGGAGAAGUUGCUCACCUUUUUCAAAAAUCAUCCGGUAUGUUUCCCUAGAGUUAUUUCUUUGCAGCCUCUGGCAGGGGCAAGGAAUGUAUUUACUGAUGGUUCUUCCACCGGGAGAACUGUGGUGGCCUACCCUCCUGAUUUUGAUAUUCAGCCUGUUGAUACUAAAUCUGCUCAGGUGACUGAAUUGAUCACUGUACAAAUGGCCUUAGAGAAAUAUGCUGACAUUCCAUUUAACCUUUUUACUGACAGUCAGUAUAUAAGCAAAAUUCUUGCGCCUUUGGAAACUGCAGCUUAUAUUGCUUCUGUAUCUCAAGUCCAGAUGCAGUUAUUGGUUAUCCAAACUUUGCUUUGGGUCCGAUCUGUUCCCAUUUACAUAGGACAUUUGCAGUCUCAUAGUGACGCCCCUGGUCCCUUGAGCGAGGGGAAUGCUUUGGCUGAUCAACUUACUCCCCAAAUUUGUGCAGUGAGUCAAGAAUCUUACAAAGCUGCAGAAAAGGCUCAUAAUCAUUUUCAUCUCAAUGCUGGGUCUUUAAGAUUUCAUUUUAAGAUAUCUUGAGAGCAAGCCACUGAUAUUGUUAAAAAAAUGCCCUUUGUGUAUAGAACUUUUAACUGUUCCCCAUUUCAGAGUUAAUCCUCGUGGGCUUGCUCCUAAUCAUUUAUGGCAAAUGGAUGUUACCCACGUUCCUUCUUUUGGGCACAUGCAAUAUGUUCACGUAACCGAGGAUAUGUAUUCUCAUCUCAUUUUUGCCUCAGUUCAUACAGGAGAAAAAUUACAGGAUGUUAAAAGUCACUGUCUCCAGGCUUUUGCAUAAGUUUUUCCUUAUGCAAAAAACUUUUGCAGAGUUUUUCCUAAAACUCUGAAAACUGACAAUGGACCAGCCUACACCAGCACUGGCUUUGCUAAAUUUUGCACUGAGUUUUCUAUUUCUCAUAAAUCAGGUAUACCCUAUAAUCCCCAAGGACAAGCUAUAGUAGAACAAGUGCAUCAUACACUCAAAGCUAAUUUACAUAAAACAGAAAGGGGGAUUAUGGUUCCACCCCCAGGGACCAUUUGUCUUUUAUUUUACACAUUUUAAGUUUUUUGACUAUUGGUGCUCAUUCCCAGACCACUGCUGAGCGACAUUGAUGGCCAAAUUCUUCUGGGAUGCCUCAUGUUAAAUGGAAGAAUCUAGCAGAUGGCACCUGGUAUGGUCCAGAUCCUUUACUAAUGUGGGGUAGAGGAGUUGUCUGUGUUUUCCCGCAGGAUGUUGACAAUCCAAUUUGGGUACCUGAGCGUCUGGUUCAUGCUGUGGCUUUUCCUGUCCAGAAGCCUGAAGACAGGACAGAACCAAGAGAUCCAGCAGACACUGACCUGCCAACUGAAGAGCUGCUGGGUUCCUGAGAAGCUGGCUGUGGUGGUCCAAGUGCCAAGGACCCUUCCUUUACCCAUCUACCCUUCCCAUGAUAUUGACAGCCAUUGCUGUGGCUGCUAGAGUGGUUAAUGCUGCUGGAUUUUUCCCUUAAUCAGUUAGUUGCUUCAGGUAGCACUAUGGAUACCCUCUCAGGGCAGGUUGCAAAUGCCUUGGCUGUUCAAAUUGAGCUAAAUUUACAAUUAAAUACUGCAGUUAAUUUUGCUGUUGGUUGCAGUUUUUGACCUCUGCUAGGUCACAGAAAAGGCUUUCUGCUGUCAUUCAUGGACCCUGGAGUACAAGAUAUACUAAUUGGCUAUUAUUUAUUAAUCUAGUUAACUAUACAGGGUUCUUUCCACCAGUGCUGAGACCUUACUUUAAGGGCUCCAUUUUGGGCAGAUUUAUUAAGGAUUGAGCAGAUACAGUCUCCUUUUGGAGUGCUUAUAUGUGCUGGAGCAUCAUCUUCAUGAUUUCAUGGUGCCAGAGCCAAAGGCAAGCUCAGGUCAGUGUUGCCACGUGGCAAGUCCUCUUAGCUACUGUCCCGGAGUAUCUUUCAGCAUAAAUCUGGCUGAACUUGGUGAUGGUUGACUAGUGAGCCAAUGACGGGUAAGGUUUUUGGGGGGCUGCCUGAAACUAAGACAGGAAAUGUGUUUUGACCUGGAUGCUUUCCCACGACGGGUAAGGGGUAUUGCCUGAUGUCCAAUGCCACUCAAGACAGGCCUAGUCAUAUAAUUUAUAUAAAAGGGGGACCUGUAGGACCAGGUCUACCCUUACUCCCUGGAGUGUGUCUUGAGGACAGUUCUGGUCAGCCAGCUAAAGCUUCCUGCUAGUUCCUGUGCUCAUUCUGCCAUAGCCUGGUGAUUUAGCUGUAGGGCAUUGUUUCAUCUUUGGUGUGGUAGUUUCCUACCUGCCUGGGAGGAGUUCCUAUAUGGCGUCAGGUUCCCCCUUUGGCUGGGAGGGAAUUCCUUUACUGGGGCCCUAGUAUAUUUGGCAAAAAGUUGAAUAAAGUGGCAUUUGGCUGAUCUUCUUUCGAAUGACCCAGGUCUCUUGUGUGUGUUUCUUUCAAUCUCUAGGCCUUUGCCCAGACUUGUGAUUGGUACGGAGGCAUGUGAGCCAUACCAAGAGGGGCCAUGUUUUUAAACCAUGGGUCUCAUGUCAGCCUGCUGUGGCCCACCAGUCACAAGAGGGAGUCAGGCAAGAAUUUCAUAGAGUUGUGUACCCCAAAAUAUGAUGUUCCCUGUGAGACACCUCCAGCAACAUGGGCACAAGCGCUCUAGCCCUCUUCUUCCCGCAUGGGAGCUGUUAGCUCC